GUAACCCAGGAAGGAGAAGGAUGUGGGUCCUGUGCACAGCUGACCUCACCUGGGCUUGACACAGCCGUGAACCUCUGGCCCCAGCUCAGAGGAUAAGGAUGCAUAUCUACAAAGAUUGACUAAUCAUGUUGAUGUGACUGGACCAACUUUCAAUAAUGACAUUGGAGAAUAACUGCAGAAGCUAUCAUCUUCUCCAGGGGACUCCAGGGGAUGGCUCUUACCUCGGAGUGGCCAGAGCUCCUUACUGAAGGGAAAUGCCGUCUUCAUUUGACCAGCAUUAAUUAAUGACAGGAUUUCCCAGC
rnacentral:lncRNA from 1 species